UUAGCCUACGGGGAGCAGCAGUCGAGAAUCAUUCACAAUGGGGGAAACCCUGAUGGUGCGACGCCGCGUGGGGGAAUGAAGGUCUUCGGAUUGUAAACCCCUGUCAUGUGGGAGCAAAUUAAAAAGAUAGUACCACAAGAGGAAGAGACGGCUAACUCUGUGCCAGCAGCCGCGGUAAUACAGAGGUCUCGAGCGUUGUUCGGAAUCACUGGGCGUAAAGCGUGCGUAGGCUGUUUCGUAAGUCGUGUGUGAAAGGCGCGGGCUCAACCCGCGGCCGGCACAUGAUACUGCGAGACUACAGGAAG
rnacentral:rRNA from 1 species